rnacentral:lncRNA from 1 species
UUUUUUUAUCCAAAUGAUAUCUCAUAAGUGUAUAAUAAGUUCCAAAAUAACAAACAAAAGAAAGAACAAAGGAAAAAAAAAACGGCUUGAAUGAGCCGAGAGAAAAGAUAGUGUUAACCUAUGGUUGAUUAUAACUAACAAUGGAAUUUAAAGUGAUUAUAGCUUUUAAAGCAUCAAAUGGAAAAUUGAUCGAUGAUUGUCAAAGGAUCAAAACCUAUUAUCACAAUGGGACUCAUGAAGGAGGUUAAGAGCAAGGUUACAACAAAGUUACAAAUUCAACUCAACUCAACAAUGGUGCGGUUGUUUUGGCAAUGGAAGAGACAAAAGUACUCUCCAGUCUCCACAGUUGCCUUUGCUAAAGGCGAUAGUGUCCUUGAUUUUUGGCCCAUCACCCUAUGUAUAACAAGAGGAGGGUCUGCUGAAUCAAGAAAGGGGUGAGAAAUAUUUUGUUGAGUUGAAGGGACAACUCCAUCUGUGAAAAGGGUUGUGGUGGUGGAUUAAGAUUUUGGAGAGUGACUCGACUUCCGAUGAGGAUUCGAUUUGUAGGAGUGUGGGCUUUGUAAUGGUGAUUGGGGAAUUGGGUUCCUUGAUCUUGAGUUUCCAUCUAUUCGAAGUCCGAGACUGUGGAAAAGUGUUAUAAUUGGGAAGAAGUCACAGAUGGGUUUUGGGUAUCGAAAAAUGGGAACGGAGUAGGUUGCACAGGUGGAGGUGGCGGUGGUCUGAUGGAUUUUUGGUUUGAGUUGGGGGUGGGGGUAGGGUUGAGGGGUGAGAGGAGGAAGACGGCUAUUGG